AUUGGAGAUGAGUCUCAUGGACCUUCCUGCCAAAGCUGGCUUUGAACCUUGAUCCUCAGAUCUCAGCCUCCCGAGUUGCUAGAAUGACAGGCAUAAGCACUGGUGCUUGGAAGAUGUUUUUGUUGGAGUUUUUGGCGACAG